GCCCUCCCCCCAAGUCCCCUUAGCUCCCAGGGGGCCCCUCUCUCUGCCCCCCAGGUCCCAGUUCUCAGCGUGUCCCCCCUCCCCUAUGCCACACUCUGACCCCUCUCCCACUCUCGGGGGUGCCCCCUUUUUCUUGCGCACCCCAAAGAGAGGUGUCAGUGCAGAGGGUUGGGGAUAUUUUGGGAGCAAACCUCCCGUGGGCUGAAGCGUUUGCGUUUCAGCCUCACUGCCGCCUUCCCCCAACAACCCGCCUUCCCUGGGACUGGGGAGGCGCAGUUGAAUAUUUGGGUGUGGGGAGAGACCUGCCCUUCUGGAGCCCCCAUGUCACCCCCCCCCCCCCGCAUCCCGCUCUCUGUGUCCCUCUGGUCCCCCAGCCCCGCUUUCUGGGCCUCUCAGGUCACCCUGCUCCCCUGGCACCACAGCCCUCUGGUGCCCUCCUGUCGCUGCGCCUUGUGCCACUGAGCCGUCGUGGGGUUUGCUGUGUUGCAGCCAUGGCCUGUGGCGCUCUGGCGGAGGAGCUGGACGCCGUGCUGAGCGGGAGGGGUUGGGAGGUGCAGGAGAGGUACGACUCUGCCCCCGUGCCCGCUCACCCCGUCAGAGUGCGGAAGACCGCCUGCUACAUCGUCUUGGCUGUCCUGCUUAACGACCAGAAUGAGGUGCUGAUGAUGCAGGAGGCCAAGCACGAGUGCUAUGGGACGUGGUACCUGCCUGCCGGGAGGAUGGAGCCCAACGAGACCAUCCUGGAGGCCAUGAAGAGGGAGGUGAAGGAGGAGACGGGGCUGGAGUGUGAGCCUCUCACCCUGCUGGCAGUGGAAGAGAGAGGCUCCAUCUGGAUUCGCUACGUCUUCCUCGCUCGGCCAACUGGCGGGACCUUGAAGGCACCCCAUGAUGCAGAUGCUGAAUCCCUCCAAGCCAGGUGGUGGGAUAGAGAAUCUCCUGCCCUUCCUCUGCGAGCUCGGGAUAUCCUGCCCCUUAUGGACCUUGCUGUGCGAUACCGAGACAGCCCAUCCCACCCCAUGACCUUGCCGGAGGAGAUGCCCUGUGCCUUGAUCUGCCAGAGGCUCCUGGCUACGUUCACCAAUGGUGCCGGUGACUUGUGGGUGCUGCUGAGUGCUGUAGGGGCCCCACACCUGCCGGUGUGUGCCCGCACCACCUCCCCCUGCAAAAUCCAAAACAGCAUCCAGGCAGCAGCCUGCAGACUGCUGAAGGAAUGCUGCCUGCUACCGCAAGUGACUGUCCGGGCCCACGGGGUCCUGGGGCUGCAGCACCUGGGCAAGAAUGCAGGGAAAUCUGACGGCGUUUGCUUCAACGUGCUGCUGACUGUUACGCAGGGUGACCAGAGCACCCAGGAGACGCCACCAGAGCUGCAGGGUGAGAGCUUCCAGUGGUGGAAGAUCGAGGAGAGCAACUUGAGAAGCAGAAUCCUCCAGAGGCUCAGCUCGUCGGCUGUUGUCCCAAUUCACAGCUACUGACACAGGGUCUCAUUGAAGCUUGGAUUCAGAGACCUUUCCCUGGGCAUGGGACACGCUUCACCCCGUUACGGCCAUUGGCUGUCCCCACGCAGCCAUCCCGAGGAUGAUGCAUGGCUUCACCGCAGGGCACGUCCUACCCAGCCGCUGCCAACCACAGACCCAUUUCCUCAGCAUGGUUAUGGAAGGCCCUGCUACAGGCCAGGAAGCAUUUUAAUGUAAGGACCGUAAUACACUUCCACGGGUGGAUAAUCUGGUACGGCUACACUGUCCCUGCUUCAGGCAACCAUGAAGAAAGUGUGAGAGAAACAAACUGGAGUCCAGCUGAACUGUGAGAAAAUUAAAGGGAAUGCUCUGGGAUAACGUUAAGACAAACACUUAGGUUUUAUUUACAAAUAGGUUUUCCCAAAGGCAGUGUGAAUACACGUUUUCACAACCCAAAUGUAAGCAAAAACUGGUUUGGUUUAGGAAGUAAAUAUUUCCCUUCAGCACUGGUAAAAACCAUUUGAGCAUUGAAAAACAGACUAGAAACGGCAGUGAAAAUGACCAGACUUAAAUCACUAUCCCAGCUCAGCACAAUACAUAAAAAUACCCUAACAGCAGAAGUAAAUAAUGCUUUGCCCUUCUAAUGUACAUUUUAAGGCUCUCACAGUGUUUCACAAACAUUAAUUAAUUUAUAUUGCUUAAUGAACUUCACUUGAAUAAAUUAAGCUUCUCAGCUGCCCUAUGGUGAAAAAAAUCAAUUAGAUUAUUUUUUCAUUUUCAAAAGGUUUGUUUUUAUUCAUCAGUCCUACAACAUGAUGAAAUGGAAAAAACAAGCAAGAAUGAAUCAUCGUAGAGAUAAAGAGUAGACAGUACUGAGUGCAACUGAUUUUUAUAAACAAAGCUGUAGCUCACGAAAGCUUAUGCUCAAAUAAAUUGGUUAGUCUCUAAGGUGCCACAAGUCCUCCUUUUCUUUCUGCGAAUACAGACUAACACGGCUGCUACUCUGAAACCUGACAAUAAAGACUAAUAUUUCCAGUUACUGUUUCCUUGUUU